rnacentral:lncRNA from 1 species
CCCUGGGGUCCGGGCUUCCAAGGGGGACACGGGGUCUGUGCUGGACAGAGGACAACAGAGGCUGCACAUUGUGCCCCCUUCGUACCCCCACAGUUUGCCUGGCUUUACUGUGUUCUUACCCUGAGCCUGCAGGAGCCAGGAAGGAGAGGGAAUCAGGUGGCCCUUGGGCCUGAGGAGGGAGCACCGAGGGAGAGGGAGGCAGGAUGGUUCCAGGCUUGGAGGGGUGCAAGAGGCAGAGGGAGGCGCCAGCCUGUUGCUUUCACAGGGGGCGGGGUGUGGCUGUGGACGUGGGGUGCAGCUGGUCCUAGAGAUGAAGCCUGAAGGACACAGACCACCUGCCAAGUGGGCGGCAGACAGUGGUGUGGCCAGAGCCCUCCCGCCCACGUCCACGAGGCUGGCAGAUUCCGAUGCUGCACCUGACACAUCUGUUCAGACCCCUUCCUCUUUGGAAAUGCACCUCGCCACAAGCUUCCUCUUUCCCUUCCAUCCUCCAUGGGCCUGGGGAGGCGACAGCAGCUUCUGGCUGUCCUGUCUGGGCUGCACCCCCAGCACCCCAGGACUGGGUGCCACCCUCAGGGUGCAGGCUGCUCCUGCACAUCUGGCCCUGGGCCUGGGACCUCGUGGGCCAGCUGGGGUGGGGCGGCCCCCUCUGCCCUUGCUCAGGCUGCUACAUUCUCGUCCGCAGCACUUCCGUAGCCCUGACAGGAAAUGCUGCAGUCUCAACCUCCGCCAUCUCAGGCAACUUCUUGUUUCCCAGUUGCCCUGUGCUAGCCCUGGGGUUGUGCCCCUUGGCUCCACCCCCAGCACUUUCCCAGGGCCCGGUCCCAGCAGCUCAGAGGGGACAGGAUGGUGGACGUGAUUGCUAAACUGACCAGGAGGCAGAGCCAGGCCCUGCGGGUUCAGAGUGACCGGCGACCCCAGCCACCUGCUUCCUCCGCGGGGCGGGCACUCGCCCUCCUUCCCCCUCCACGAGCCCUGGCUGUGGAUGCUGAUGCCUGCGACUCCCACACUGGAAAGUGCAGGCCCCACCCAGAAGGGUUCGGACCCCAGGGCUCCCUGGGCUGAGC